GGACUACAGGGGUUUCUAAUCCUGUUUGCUACCCACGCUUUCGUGUCUCAGCGUCAGUUACGGUCCAGAGAGCCGUCUACACCACCGGUGUUCCUCCUGAUAUCUACGCAUUUCACCGCUACACCAGGAAUUCCACUCUCCUCUCCCGCACUCUAGCCUUUCAGUAUUCGGCGCACCCUCCCGGUUAAGCCGGGAGAUUUCACACCAAACUUAGAAGGCCGCCUACACACCCUUUACGCCCAGUAACUCCGAACAACGCUCGCUGCCUACGUAUUACCGCGGCUGCUGGCAC
rnacentral:rRNA from 1 species